GUGCGCAGGAGGGUGAAGUUGGCUGGCAGGUGGGUCAGGUUGAAGAAUUCCACGGCCAGGUGCACGGUGUCGGCUGGCAGGUAGCCGGGGAUUUCGGCAGGUGGUUGACAGGAGAUGGAGCUGCCAUGGUCUGAGCGGAACACCUGGCAGUCUUUGGGGCUCAGGGUGACCCCCCAGGCUGAGGCUGCCAACAGCAGCAGCAGGAACAGAGUUCUAGAAACAUGGGGUUGAAUGCCCCCUGGGCUGCAGGCAGUAACAGAAGAUGCUUACUAAACCACAGUGAAAAUACACUCAGCUAGGUGAAAAUACACCAGCAAAUCCGCCCACUUCUUCCCAUCUCUGCGGCUACCAGCCUGGACUAUGCUACCUCAUCUCUCACCUGUACUAGGGCAGUUGCUUCCUCCUCCUCUUCCAGCUUCUACCCUCACCCCCGACAGCUGCCAGAAGUGGCCCCUGUUCCAGGGAGAAUUAUAAUUCUAGGAAAGUUGAGUUUCUGAGUGUAACUCCCGCAUAAUAUGAAUACACUUCCCCAUCACCAGCCUAGCCCCCAUGAGCUGUUAAUUAUUCACAGUCCAACUUGCUAGUUUCUUCUGAUCUGGCUUAUUUUCUGGGUCAGUCCUUGUCUCCCUGGCUCUGUGUUUUGAUGUGAACUCCUAUUCAUCCUUCAAAGCCCCAGCUCCAAUGCCCUCUUUUCCAUGAAGACUUCUCUGCUCUGGGAUCCUGGUCUUUUUGUCCACUCUUGACCAAUUGGGUGCUUGGAGGAAGACAGACGUUCAGGUUCAUGUUUUUGAGACAGAGUCUUGCUCAGUUGCCCAGGCUGGAGGGAACUGGCAUGAUCACAGCUCACUGCAGCCUCUGAACAUGAAAAGUGUGUCCUGCUUUGGCCAGGUCUGAGGGUGGGCAUUUGGCCUUGGGAAGCGGUGGUUUACACUUAGCACCACAACCCUUGGAAGCCUGGGGCUUCCCCUCCUCCUCCAGGGCUUCCCUGGCCCGGCAGCCAUCAGACAUGAUCUCGACAGCCUUGGUCACUGUGGCCCCAGGCCUCUAACAAGAAGCCUCCCCCGGCUCCCUGCUGCCCAUGCCCACCUGGGCUUCUGUAGGGGUGUGUGUGUGUGUGCACGCGCCAGUCUUUCUGUCACAGAUAAGGUUGAUCUGUGCCAGCCACCAGGCCUGUAUCUGCUCCCUGUGACUUCUAUGGGUUAGCUGGAAUGUCCUGUAUCUCCGCAUGGUCUGGCGUUCAAACCUGCCUAGGACAGGUAGUGUGGGGACCUACCUUUUUGGUCGCUGUCUGCUCCAAGAGGACAUGGUAGCUCUGCUCUUUUGCUUCUGGGUUGUCCUGGCCUGCGGAGGUGGCCUUAUACCUGCCUGGACUGGGGGCAGGGGAACCAACCCUGGGGAAGUCCCCACCCCCGUCCAGUUCCUGAUAGGGGCUGAGCCUAAGCCAGGCAGGGGAAGGGGAGGGGUCAGGAUUACAAAAUUGCUUCCUGGAAAUUGUUUCCUGUUCAACCCCUUUUUGACCCUGCUUCUAGAACACAGGUUUUUCUUUCCUUGCUUCCUGAUUUUUGGGGGGCAUCCAAGAGUCUCUCUAGUUGCAUCCUCACUUCCCCCAACCCGGAGUUCAAGGGUCAAGGUUUGCAAGGCACUAUUCCUGGAGACAGGGACA
rnacentral:lncRNA from 10 species